rnacentral:tRNA from 1 species
GGCGGCGUGGUCACACCGUGGUCACAGAAGUCCCAUAACAGGACCGGAUUGGGCAACAUUCGCCUGACGUGCGGACGGCGAGAAACCCACCCUGAGCUGGACAAACACCCAUCAAAUGGGCGCUUUCGGGUUCGAUUCCCGGCGUCGCCUCCA